GCAGCUACCAUGCAGUCGAGCGGCAGCGGGUCCUUCGGGAUGCCGGCGAGCGGCGGACGGGUGAGUAAUGCCUAGGAAUCUGCCUGGUAGUGGGGGAUAACGUUCGGAAACGGACGCUAAUACCGCAUACGUCCUACGGGAGAAAGUGGGGGAUCUUCGGACCUCACGCUAUCAGAUGAGCCUAGGUCGGAUUAGCUAGUUGGUGGGGUAAAGGCUCACCAAGGCGACGAUCCGUAACUGGUCUGAGAGGAUGAUCAGUCACACUGGAACUGAGACACGGUCCAGACUCCUACGGGAGGCAGCAGUGGGGAAUAUUGGACAAUGGGCGAAAGCCUGAUCCAGCCAUGCCGCGUGUGUGAAGAAGGUCUUCGGAUUGUAAAGCACUUUAAGUUGGGAGGAAGGGCAGUCAGUUAAUACCUGGUUGUUUUGACGUUACCAACAGAAUAAGCACCGGCUAACUUCGUGCCAGCAGCCGCGGUAAUACGAAGGGUGCAAGCGUUAAUCGGAAUUACUGGGCGUAAAGCGCGCGUAGGUGGUUCAGCAAGUUGGAGGUGAAAUCCCCGGGCUCAACCUGGGAACUGCCUCCAAAACUACUGAGCUAGAGUACGGUAGAGGGUAGUGGAAUUUCCUGUGUAGCGGUGAAAUGCGUAGAUAUAGGAAGGAACACCAGUGGCGAAGGCGACUACCUGGACUGAUACUGACACUGAGGUGCGAAAGCGUGGGGAGCAAACAGGAUUAGAUACCCUGGUAGUCCACGCCGUAAACGAUGUCGACUAGCCGUUGGGAUCCUUGAGAUCUUAGUGGCGCAGCUAACGCGAUAAGUCGACCGCCUGGGGAGUACGGCCGCAAGGUUAAAACUCAAAUGAAUUGACGGGGGCCCGCACAAGCGGUGGGAGCAUGUGGUUUUAAUUCGAAGCAACGCGAAGAACUCUUACCUGGUCGUGACAUGC
rnacentral:rRNA from 1 species